UACGAAGGGGGCUAGCGUUGCUCGGAAUCACUAGGCGUAAAGGGUGCGUAGGCGGGUCUUUAAGUCAGGGGUGAAAUCCUGGAGCUCAACUCCAGAACUGCCUUUGAUACUGGCGAUCUUGAGUCCGGGAGAGGUGAGUGGAACUGCGAGUGUAGAGGUGAAAUUCGUAGAUAUUCGCAAGAACACCAGUGGCGAAGGCGGCUCACUGGCCCGGUACUGACGCUGAGGUGCGAAAGCGUGGGGAGCAAACAGG
rnacentral:rRNA from 1 species